rnacentral:rRNA from 1 species
GAUGAACGCUAGCGACAGGCUUAACACAUGCAAGUCGAGGGGCAGCACAGGUAGCAAUACCGGGUGGCGACCGGCGCACGGGUGAGUAACGCGUAUGCAACUUGCCUAUCAGAGGGGGAUAACCCGGCGAAAGUCGGACUAAUACCGCAUGAAGCAGGGAUCCCGCAUGGGAAUAUUUGCUAAAGAUUCAUCGCUGAUAGAUAGGCAUGCGUUCCAUUAGGCAGUUGGCGGGGUAACGGCCCACCAAACCGACGAUGGAUAGGGGUUCUGAGAGGAAGGUCCCCCACAUUGGUACUGAGACACGGACCAAACUCCUACGGGAGGCAGCAGUGAGGAAUAUUGGUCAAUGGCCGAGAGGCUGAACCAGCCAAGUCGCGUGAGGGAUGAAGGUUCUAUGGAUCGUAAACCUCUUUUAUAAGGGAAUAAAGUGCGGGACGUGUCCCGUUUUGUAUGUACCUUAUGAAUAAGGAUCGGCUAACUCCGUGCCAGCAGCCGCGGUAAUACGGAGGAUCCGAGCGUUAUCCGGAUUUAUUGGGUUUGUGGGGUGCGUUGGCGGCCUUUUAAGUCUGCGGUGUGGGUCUGUGGCUCAACCUUCGNUUUGCCGUUGAAACUGGGGGGCUUGAUUAUGGUUGAGGCUGGCGGAAAGCGUGGUGUUGCGGUGUUNUGCUUUGUUAUAACGCCGUUCCCCGUUUGGCAAAGGCCGCCUGCCCAAGCCAUUACUGACGCUGCUGCACGAAAGCGUGGGGAUCAAACAGGAUUAGAUACCCUGGUAGUCCACGCAGUAAACGAUGAUCACUAGCUGUUUGCGAUACACUGUAAGCGGCACAGCGAAAGCGUUAAGUGAUCCACCUGGGGAGUACGCCGGCAACGGUGAAACUCAAAGGAAUUGACGGGGGCCCGCACAAGCGGAGGAACAUGUGGUUUAAUUUGAUGAUACGCGAGGAACCUUACCCGGGUUUGAACGCAUUCGGACCGAGGUGGAAACACCUUUUCUAGCAAUAGCCGUUUGCGAGGUGCUGCAUGGUUGUCGUCAGCUCGUGCCGUGAGGCGUCGGCUUAAGUGCCAUAACGAGCGCAACCCUUGCCACUAGUUACUAACAGGUAAAGAUGAGGACUCUGGUGGGACUGCCAGCGUAAGCUGCGAGGAAGGCGGGGAUGACGUCAAAUCAGCACGGCCCUUACAUCCGGGGCGACACACGUGUUACAAUGGCGUGGACAAAGGGAGGCCACCUGGCGACAGGGAGCGAAUCCCCAAACCACGUCUCAGUUCGGAUCGGAGUCUGCAACCCGACUCCGUGAAGCUGGAUUCGCUAGUAAUCGCGCAUCAGCCAUGGCGCGGUGAAAAAGGUCCCGGGCCUUGU